rnacentral:rRNA from 1 species
GAUAAACGCUGGCGGCGUGCCUAAUACAUGCAAGUCGAGCGAACGGACAAGAAGUCUUCGGACAUUUUGAAAGUGAGCGGCGAACGGGUGAGUAACACGUAGGUAACCUGCCCUUGAGAUUGGGAUAACAGUUGGAAACGACUGCUAAUACCGAAUGGGAACGAGUGAGGCAUCUCACAAGUUUAAAAGGAGCUUUCGGGCUUCGCUUAAGGAUGGACCUGCGGCGCAUUAGCUAGUUGGUGGGGUAAAGGCCUACCAAGGCGACGAUGCGUAGCCGACCUGAGAGGGUGAUCGGCCACACUGGGACUGAGACACGGCCCAGACUCCUACGGGAGGCAGCAGUAGGGAAUUUUCCACAAUGGACGAAAGUCUGAUGGAGCAACGCCGCGUGUGCGAAGAAGGCCUUCGGGUUGUAAAGCACUGUUGUAAGGGAAGAACAGAUGUGAGAGGAAAUGCUCAUAUUGUGACGGUACCUUACCAGAAAGCCACGGCUAACUACGUGCCAGCAGCAGCCGCGGUAAGAC